UACAGAGGGUGCAAGCGUUAAUCGGAAUUUACUGGGCGUAAAGCGUGCGUAGACGGUUUAUUUAAGUCAGGUGUGAAAGCCCCGGGCUCAACCUGGGAAUUGCAUUUGAGACUGAAUAGCUAGGGUGCGGAAGAGGGAAGCGGAAUUUCCGGUGUAGCGGUGAAAUGCGUAGAUAUCGGAAGGAACACCAGUGGCGAAGGCG
rnacentral:rRNA from 1 species